rnacentral:rRNA from 1 species
UUGGAGGGCAAGUCUGGUGCCAGCAGCCGCGGUAAUUCCAGCUCCAAUAGCGUAUAUUAAAGUUGUUGCAGUUAAAAAGCUCGUAGUUGAAUUUCGGGAUUGACGUGAUGGUCGUGCCUUAAGGGGUAUGAACUGUCGCUGUUGAUUUCUCACCUUCUGGAGAAACUUGAUGUCCUUAAUUGGGUGUCUUGCGGAUCCAGGACCUUUACCUUGAAAAAAUUAGAGUGUUUAAAGCAGGCAUUUUUGCUCGAAUACAUUAGCAUGGAAUAAUAGAAUAGGACGGCAUGGUUCUAUUUUGUUGGUUUCUAGGAUCACCGUAAUGAUUAAUAGGGAUAGUUGGGGGCAUUAGUAUUCAAUUGUCAGAGGUGAAAUUCUUGGAUUUAUUGAAGACUAACUACUGCGAAAGCAUUUGCCAAGGAUGUUUUCAUUAAUCAAGAACGAAAGUUAGGGGAUCGAAGACGAUCAGAUACCGUCGUAGUCUUAACCAUAAACUAUGCCGACUAGGAAUCAGACGAUGUUAAUUUUUUAAUGACUCGUUUGGCACCUUACGGGAAAC